rnacentral:rRNA from 1 species
UACAGAGGUCUCAAGCGUUUGUUCGGAUUCAUUGGGCGUAAAGGGUGCGUAGGUGGCGCUGUAAGUCGGGUGUGAAAUCCUGAGGCUUAACCUCGGAACUGCAUUCGAUACUGCGGCGCUUGAGGACUGGAGAGGAGACUGGAAUUCAUGGUGUAGCAGUGAAAUGCGUAGAUAUCAUGAGGAAUACCAGAGGCGAAGGCGGCUACCUGGACAAUUGCUGACGCUCAGGCACGAAAGCGUGGGGAGCAAAAGGG